rnacentral:rRNA from 1 species
AGGCGAAGGGGCAGCAAUGUCACUGUCGUACGGGUGCGUAACGCGUAUGCAACCUACCUAUCACUGGGGGAUAGCCCGGGGAAACCCGGAUUAAUACCGCAUAAAACAGGGGCACCGCAUGGUGAUAUUUGUUAAAGAUUUAUUGGUGAUAGAUGGGCAUGCGUUCGAUUAGCUAGUUGGCGGGGUAACGGCCCACCAAGGCGACGAUCGAUAGGGGAGCUGAGAGGUUGAUCCCCCACACGGGCACUGAGAUACGGGCCCGACUCCUACGGGAGGCAGCAGUAGGGAAUAUUGGGCAAUGGAUGCAAGUCUGACCCAGCCAUGCCGCGUGCCGGAUGAAGGCCCUCAGGGUUGUAAACGGCUUUUAUUCGGGAAGAAGAGCAGGGAUGCGUCCUUGUGUGACGGUACCGAAUGAAUAAGCACCGGCU